CGUCUACAGGGCUCCUCUGGGGAGUGCUCAAUGGUCUGUGGAUUCAGCCCUUUGUGUGACCCAAAGUGCCUCCAUCCACAGAAAAAGGAAAGUCUCUGCACACAUCCAGCCUCAUGGGAUCGCGUUCAGACCGUACACCAGAGCACCAGGGAGUGCAUUCCUCCUUUCAUUUUGGAGAGAAACUUAGAUCAUCGAUAUUGUUUGCUAAGGCUCCGUCCAGGGAGGGGAAAGAAGCUUUGAAAUGCUCGGCUGAGAUCCUGCAGUGAUGUGAAGGGGGGAACAUGUUCUGCUGUGUUCAGAGGGGAAAAAAUGUAUAUAUA
rnacentral:lncRNA from 1 species